rnacentral:rRNA from 1 species
UACAUGGGGUGCAAACGUUGCUCGGAAUUAUUGGGGCGUAAAAGCGCGCGUAGGCGGUUACUUAAGUCGGAUGUGAAAGCCCUCGGCUUAACUGAGGAAGUGCACCCGAAACUGAGUAGCUAGAGUACGAAAGAGGGGUCGCGGAAUUCCCGGUGUAGAGGUGAAAAUUCGUAGAUAUCGGGAGGAACACCGGUGGCGAAGGCGGCGACCCUGGGUCGAGACUGACGCUGAGGCGCGAAAGCGUGGGGAGCAAACAGG